CAGCCUCUUUUGUCUCCAACCUCCAUUGGGACAACACCAUAUUAAUUGUCGCUGACAAUAUUUAAUAUUUCUUCUCUUUAGACAACGUCACAAUGAAGGUCGUCGCCUCAGCACUAACCAUUUCAGAACCCUCAUGUCCAAUUGAUAUAAUAUAGGAUGUAGAUGUAGUAGUGAUAAGUUAUGUAUGACCUUGUAGGAUUAGUAUAGAUAGUUAUAGUUCAGUUAAAUGUUAUUGUUUUUGUUAAACUUCUAUGACUUUAUAGAAGUGCAUGAAGAUAAGUUGUAAAUAAUAAAGGGAAAAGACAUCCCAAUAUAUACUCACAUAAAUAAUGAGUAGUAGUUUAGAUUUUCAGACUCUUGUGUGUAGUGAUUGAAUGAGAGUGAUUGCUUUGAUUGUGUAACUGUAUGUUCGGUGAUAUGUUCUCAGUGUUCGUGGUAUGAUUGAUUGUUUGUUUAUGUGAUGUACUUGGUGUGCGUAGUGUGUGUGUGAAUCCUGUGGUAACCGGCAUAAAAGGGGGGAUUAUUUGCAGGGGUACUAAUUAAAGAAAAGUUCCCCGAUAUGCAAUUUUGUAUCAGACUUCCGCUGCUAUUAUGAGUAACUGUGUGAUUAUUAUAUGAUCCUCACCCCACCCCAAAAAUGUCGGUGCUACAAUUGGUAGCAGAGCGAGGUUGUUUGUUUUUAUAAUAUAUUUUUCUAUUUUAUUGUUUUUCUCUUUUGGUUGGUCCUAUUUGUAUUUUUAGUUUGGUUACACGUUCUUGCCUGAUCGUAUGACAUACAACUUUAAUAUUUACUUUAAUAGUGACAUACUAAAUGACUUACCAACCUA